CCCGCCUUUGCAUUAUGUGACCAAAACAACUUAACGUUAUCUUUACUCCUUUCGUUUCUUUCCAGGGAGUAAUUAUUUCCUUGAUUUGUUUUUCCAACACCGCGGUUUUCCAGCACUCUUCCAGCUCUUCUGACUCUCCAACUCUCACUGGGGAUUUCUGAUGUGAUAAAUCUGCUUGUCCAGUGAGUCAGAGUUGAGCCAUAACGCACUGUCAGCUUGUGGCUGGAGAAGGAUGAUUCAUUGCAAUUGACUGCAGGCCACAAGCACUAUAAGUAGCCCGACUGUGGGAAGAAGCAAUGUUUGUAUGGCAGGAAGAUCCCCCAACUCAGUUCUUGAAUUCGAGAGGAAUUUUGAGGAAACAUGGAACAAGAUGCUCUUCCCAUCAUAACAACCCCCAUUAUAUUCUGUGGUUUUAGUUGUAGAGAAAAACAGUUUUGUGCCUUUUCUAAAUAUACUCAAGCUCUUUGCUGCAGAAUAUUGGUGGCUCCGCAAUAUGUGAGUAAACAUCCUUACAAUAAUAUGGAUACAUUUGUAUUAAAAACACAAUACAAUUAGGCUUAUGGCACAGAAUGUGAUUUGAUUGCCAGCAUUUGUCUUGGACAUCAGUGGGCAGUGGGUUGGGGCAACCUGCAUUGGGAAUUAUUGCUUGAAAACCAACCAGUUUGUGGUUUCAGCCAAUAGUUUUACUAUUUACUAACUAUAUUUUACUAAGGAAGUUUCUGGAUGAAAUCCUGCCUGAUACGGCCCACCCAGAGCCACCCAACAACACACCACCCGUGCCCAACGCUCUUGGGCCAGGGCAAAGGGGGCAUCAUAAGUGCAAUAGAAUAACCGAACCUAUACUUUUAGAAAAAAAUCAGCUAUUAAAGUCACCAGGGAUAGCGUUUUACUACCCAUGAUUAAGUGUUGCCUUGGGCAAGGAUUUCACCAUGCCUCGAGGCAGGAAUGGCACCAUUUUUCAUAUUGCACAAGGCACAGACUGGGGACCAACCUCUGCACCGGCUCCCUCCCCAUGCCGCCAAUUGUUCCUGCAAGCCGCUCAGUGCCCAAUAUCAUCUGGCAAGUUCCUCAGGGGUGGGGUUUAUUCAAGUCUCAGUAAAGUUACUUGACUGUCAGGGAUGGCGUUAGAAAUCUCUACAUAUACAUGUAUAACUUGCAAUCCUCCUACUGUAGUCAACAUUUUAUUUCCACUAAAAGUGGCUUUUCUGCAUUCACUCUGGACAUUAAUAACCCAAAGCAGCACCUAAAGAAGGUGGAAUUCCUGCCGAAUAAAUAUACCC